rnacentral:rRNA from 1 species
CUGGGCUACACACGUGCUACAAUGGACGAUACAAACGGUUGCCAACUCGCGAGAGGGAGCUAAUCCGAUAAAGUCGUUCUCAGUUCGGAUUGUAGGCUGCAACUCGCCUACAUGAAGCCGGAAUCGCUAGUAAUCGCGGAUCAGCAUGCCGCGGUGAAUACGUUCCCGGGCCUUGUACACACCGCCCGUCACACCACGAGAGUUUGUAACACCCGAAGUCGGUGAGGUAACCUUUUGGAGCCAGCCGCCGAAGGUGGGAUAGAUGAUUGGGGUGAAGUCGUAACAAGGUAGCCGUAUCGGAAGGUGCGGUUGGAUCACCUCC